AUUGAACGCUAGCGGGAUGCUUUACACAUGCAAGUCGAACGGAGUGGCGGACGGGUGACCAAUAUAUCGGAACGUGCGUAGUAGCCGGGGCUAACUACUCGAAAGAGUGGCUACUACCGCCCAAUAUGGGAGCGGGCGAUAUCGGAUUAGUUAGGUGGUGGGGUAAUGGCUAAACAGGGCUACGACCCGUAGCUGGUUUGAGAGGACGACAGGCCACACUGGGACUGAGACACGGCCCAGACUCCUACGGGAGGCAGCAGUGGGGAAUUGUGGACAAUGGGGGAAACCCUGAUCCAGCCAUCCCGCGUGUGUGAAGAAGGCCUUCGGGUUGUAAAGUACUUUUGGCAGAGAAGCGGUAUCUGCAGAAUAAGCACCGGCUAACUACGUGCCAGCCGCCGCGGUAAUUC
rnacentral:rRNA from 1 species